AACGAACGCUGGCGGCAUGCCUAACACAUGCAAGUCGAACGAGACCUUCGGGUCUAGUGGCGCACGGGUGCGUAACGCGUGGGAAUCUGCCCUUGGGCUCGGAAUAACAGUUAGAAAUGACUGCUAAUACCGGAUGAUGUCGAAAGACCAAAGAUUUAUCGCCCAAGGAUGAGCCCGCGUAGGAUUAGGUAGGUGGUGGGGUAAAGGCCCACCAAGCCGACGAUCCUUAGCUGGUCUGAGAGGAUGAUCAGCCACACUGGGACUGAGACACGGCCCAGACUCCUACGGGAGGCAGCAGUGGGGAAUAUUGGACAAUGGGCGAAAGCCUGAUCCAGCAAUGCCGCGUGAGUGAUGAAGGCCUUAGGGUUGUAAAGCUCUUUUACCAGGGAUGAUAAUGACAGUACCUGGAGAAUAAGCUCCGGCUAACUCCGUGCCAGCAGCCGCGGUAACAC
rnacentral:rRNA from 1 species